rnacentral:rRNA from 1 species
UACGUAGGGGGCAAGCGUUGUCCGGAUUUAUUGGGCGUAAAGAGCGUGUAGGCGGCCACACAGGUCUGCUGUGAAAACUCGAGGCUCAACCUCGAGCUGUCGGUGGAAACCGUGUGGCUAGAGUCCGGAAGAGGAGAGCGGAAUUCCCGGUGUAGCGGUGAAAUGCGCAGAUAUCGGGAAGAACACCCGUGGCGAAGGCGGCUCUCUGGGACGGUACUGACGCUGAGACGCGAAAGCGUGGGGAGCGAACAGG